rnacentral:tRNA from 1 species
GGGAUGUAGCUCAGUUUGGCUAGAGCGCACGGUUCGGGACCGUGAGGUCGCAGGUGCGAAUCCACGCAUAAUACCCG